rnacentral:ncRNA from 1 species
AUAUCGGGAAUGAUGUUCUCCCGUGGAGAGUUCUGAACAGGACUCCCAAAACCGCUUAUAAAGCUGAUGACUUCUGCGUU